AUUGAACGCUGGCGGCAGGCCUAACACAUGCAAGUCGAGCGGAGCGGCGGACGGGUGAGUAAUGCCUAGGAAUCUGCCUGGUAGCGGGGGAUGACGUCCGGAAACGGGCGCUAAUACCUCAUACUUUCAGUUGUGCCUAUGUCGGAUUAGCUAGUUGGUGGGGUAAAGGCCAACCAAGGCGACGAUCCGUAACUGGUCUGAGAGGAUGAUCAGUCACACUGGGACUGAGACACGGUCCAGACUCCUACGGGAGGCAGCAGUGGGGAAUAUUGGACAAUGGGGGCAAGCCUGAUCCAGCCAUGCCGCGUGUGUGAAGAAGGCCUUCGGGUUGUAAAGCACUUUAAGUUGGGAGGCGUUACCAACAGAAUAAGCACCGGCUAACUUCGUGCCAGCAGCCGCGGUAAUAC
rnacentral:rRNA from 1 species